CCCAAGUGGUGCUGUGCUGGUAAAUGUUUAACAACUGGCUCUUGGUUGGGGCAGUGUGACGUGCAGCAUUCCCCAGUUUCCACAGUGUGAAUACUCCCCCUACGUUGCCAACACAAGGUCGCUGGUGCAGAGCUGGGAGGAGAUGCACACAGUUGGCUCUGCUAGCUGAGCAGGGUGAAGCCGGCACCAGGACACCAUUGACUAAGGGCCAUGGAGACCCAAGAGGCAGCUGUUGUAGGAGAGGGCCAGGGCCAGAAGCAGGGCUCAAUCACCAUCGACACGGUUUCCAGUUCUCCACUUCCUCCCAGUUCCUUGAUGUGUCAAUCCAGAUAUCUGGCAUAUGCAACUUCCUCCUGGUGAACACCUCCAUAUGGAACAUCCAGAUACAACCUUCUUGACUCAUCCCACUGACUCACCCCACAUGGACCGUGCAGAUAUGCCACAGUAGCCACCUCUCAGUCACAGCAUGACUUCUGGAACUUGUGCCUGCUUGCUUCAAACCCACCGAUUAAAACUUCCUGCAGGAAAUCUGUAUAGAGAAUGCCCUAGACUCCAAUAAAGGCAAGGGUCCUUCUGUCUCUCUCCCUCACAUGCUCCCUGACUUCUGUGUGUGUGGCCUCUGGGCAUGCCGUGUACCCUCAGGACCUACUGGAAACACUCUUUUUGUAGAAUCUGCGAAGGGACAUUUUGGAGCCCAUUGAAGCCUAUAGUGAAAAACCGAAUAUUCUACGAUAGAAACCAUGGAGGCCUAUAGUGAAAAACUGAAUAUCCCAUGAUAAAAAACAGAAAGAAGCUAUCUGCGAAACCACUUUGCGAUGUGUGGAUUCAUCUCACAGAGUUAAACCUUUCUUCUGAUUCAGCAGACUGGAAACACUCUUUUUGUAGAAUCUGUGAGGGGACAUUUCGGAGCCCAUUGAGGCCUAUAGUGAAAAACCGAAUAUCCUGAGAUAAAAACUAGAAAGAAGCUAUCUGUGAGACCGCUUUGCGAUGUAUGAAUUCAUCUCACAGAGUUAAACCUUUCUUCUGAUUCAGCAGACUGGAAACACUCUUUUUGUAGAAUCUGUGACGGGACAUUUCGGAGCCCAUUGAGACCUGUAGUGAAAAACCGAAUAUCCCACAAUAAAAACUAGAAAGAAGUUAUCUGUGAAACCGCUUUGCGAUGUUUGUUUUUAAAAUCCUCCUCUUCCCACUAGAAUGUAAGCUUCAGAAGAACAGGCUAUUCAUUCUGCCCACUGUGUGCACCCAGCCUGGAACGGUGCCCAGAGUGGGUUAGUGUGCGGUGUGCACGUACUGACCUGGUGGUGAUGAAGGGCGCAGGAAGGACACGCGACCUGAUCUUUAUCCUAAGGAGCCCACACUGGAACAGGAUUAGAUUGAAGGUAG
rnacentral:lncRNA from 10 species